ensembl:lncRNA
AGCGACUGAACUGAACUGAACUGAACUGUGAAAGGGAACAUCUCCUGUCAUGUCAACAAACAGAUGCCACAUCUGUCUGUGACUCCGGCCUCCCCAAAUGUGUAUUUCUGGGCCAUGCAGAACUGGGCCUGAGGACAGUCCCCACAGGAAGGAACAAGGGCGCAGAGAGUUAUGCAAGGUGACAGAGGCCUUAGGGUGGGAAGACGUGUGUGCAGCCAACUCUCAGCUGCCUUCCCUGCACUGGCCCCAAUGCUGCACCCCACACCCCACCGCAUAUCAGAGUUUAAAGAUGAAGCCAGGAGGAUACUCAUCAGUGCCUAAGAUUAUGUGAAUUUAGCCAAGAACAUUUUCUUUACCAGCAGAAAGAAUCCCAUCACUUACUCGUAAACGUGCCUGCCCCGUGGAGUCCUUCCUGCUCUUAGC